GUGCCUCAGCCUCCUGAGUAGCUUGGAUUACAGGGCACAGGAGCUCAGAGACACUGACUCGCUUGAAGUCACUCAGCUUGGUGUGGAACCUGAGUCCCACCCUCUUAAAACCUUGAAAAUAAAGUUGCUUCCCAAAUGUUCACAUCUCCAGCCUGCCAGCUUUCCCAGAUACUGAGGGAACAGAGAAACAACUGCUCCUUUGGCUUCUAACUCCACCUGACAGUCGGCAUGGGUGCUGUGCAGGGCACCAGGAUGCAGAGCCGUCUCAGCAAAAAUCACAGAGACAGGGUCUUGCAAUAUUGUCCAGGCUGGUCUCCAACUCCUGGCC